rnacentral:rRNA from 1 species
UACAGAGGGGGCAAGCGUUGUUCGGAAUUACUGGGCGUAAAGGGCGCGUAGGCGGUCAGCACAAGUCAGUUGUGAAAUCUCCGGGCUUAACUCGGAAAGGUCAACUGAUACUGUGCGACUAGAGUGCAGAAGGGGCAACUGGAAUUCUCGGUGUAGCGGUGAAAUGCGUAGAUAUCGAGAGGAACACCUGCGGCGAAGGCGGCAUCCUGGACCAACACUGACACUGAGGAGCGAAAGCCAGGGGAGCAAACGGG